rnacentral:rRNA from 1 species
UACGUAGGGCGCAAGCGUUGUCCGGAAUUAUUGGGCGUAAAGAGCUCGUAGGCGGUUUGUCGCGUCUGCUGUGAAAACCUAAGGCUCAACCUUGGGCUUGCAGUGGGUACGGGCAGACUAGAGUGCGGUAGGGGUGACUGGAAUUCCUGGUGUAGCGGUGGAAUGCGCAGAUAUCAGGAGGAACACCGAUGGCGAAGGCAGGUCACUGGGCCGCAACUGACGCUGGAGGAGCGGAAAAGCAUGGGGAGCGAAACAGG